AACGAACGCUGGCGGCAUGCCUAACACAUGCAAGUCGAACGAGACCUUCGGGUCUAGUGGCGCACGGGUGCGUAACGCGUGGGAACCUGCCCUUAGGUUCGGAAUAACUCCCCGAAAGGGGUGCUAAUACCGGAUAAUGUCUUCGGACCAAAGAUUUAUCGCCCUUGGGUGGGCCCGCGUUGGAUUAGAUAGUUGGUAGGGUAAAAGCCUACCAAGGCGACGAUCCAUAGCUUGUCUGAGAGGAUGGUCAGCCACUCUGGGACUGAGACGCGGCCCAGAAUCCUACGGGAGGCAGGAGUGGGGAAUAUUGGAACAUCGGCGGAAGCCUGAUCCAGCUAUGACGCGUGAGUGAUGAAGGCCUUAGGGUUGUAAAGCUCUUUUACCCGGGAUGAUAAUGACAGUACCGGAAGAAUAAGCUCCGGCUAACUCCGUG
rnacentral:rRNA from 1 species